AUUGAACGCUGGCGGCAGGCCUAACACAUGCAAGUCGAGCGGCAGCGGGAAAGUAGCUUGCUACUUUUGCCGGCGAGCGGCGGACGGGUGAGUAAUGCCUGGGAAAUUGCCCAGUCGAGGGGGAUAACAGUUGGAAACGACUGCUAAUUCCGCAUACGCCCUACGGGGGAAAGCAGGGGACCUUCGGGCCUUGCGCGAUUGGAUAUGCCCGGGUGGGAUUAGCUAGUUGGUGAGGUAAUGGCUCACCAAGGCGACGGUCCCUAGCUGGUCUGAGAGGAUGAUCAGCCACACUGGAACUGAGACACGGUCCAGACUCCUACGGGAGGCAGCAGUGGGGAAUAUUGCACAAUGGGGGAAACCCUGAUGCAGCCAUGCCGCGUGUAUGAAGAAGGCCUUCGGGUUGUAAAGCACUUUCAGCGAGGAGGAAGGGUUGAUGCCUAAUACGUAUCAACUGUGACGUUACUCGCAGAAGAAGCACCGGCUAACUCCGUGCCAGCCGCCGCCGUAACAC
rnacentral:rRNA from 1 species